UACGUAGGGUGCAAGCGUUAAUCGGAAUUACUGGGCGUAAAGCGUGCGCAGGCGGUUAUAUAAGACAGUUGUGAAAUCCCCGGGCUCAACCUGGGAACUGCAUCUGUGACUGUAUAGCUAGAGUACGGUAGAGGGGGAUGGAAUUCCGCGUGUAGCAGUGAAAUGCGUAGAUAUGCGGAGGAACACCGAUGGCGAAGGCAAUCCCCUGGACCUGUACUGACGCCCAUGCACGAAAGCGUGGGGAGCAAACAGG
rnacentral:rRNA from 1 species